rnacentral:rRNA from 1 species
GAAGGGGUUGAAGAUGACAGCUCGUGGAGCGUUCCAUUGAGCUGGUUAAAGCUGACAUCAAGGAUGGUGAUGCUGCCGGAUGACACCAAUUCCAGCGGCAGACUACCAGACAGCAAGUUGUGAGAGAGGUUAAGGUACCGCAGCCCGGCGAGGUUUCCAAGGGACUCCGAGAUGUGCCCCUCAAGUCCCUUUGAAGCCAGCACUACAUCAGUGACAAUCCUAUCUUGCCCGCAGGUGAUUCCUCCUCACUCGCAACAAUCCAUGCCAUCUUGCCAUGAGGCGGCGAGGCCACCAUCAUGUGAGAGACCUGCUAGGAACUGGAGAAGGGAGGUCUGCUCCUGCUCCAUGCAUGAACUGGUCGGAGACGCCAAGGAGAUCAGCAACACAAGAACAAGGCCAACUGAAGUUGUAGUCACCACAAAGAAGAUUGGGUCGAUUAUUCUGUUUCCUGUUGUUUUCAAUUCUACCGUCGAGGCUUCUCCACUGGUGCAUUAUCACGGACCUUGGACUGGGAUUUGUGGUUGCCAUGAAUCCGAUCUGGUUGGGAUUCGGUAGCGCGUGAGGACUGAGGAAUAGUAGUGACAAACUGAUUUGUGACUUGUGUGAUGCUUACGUGGACAGUGGACAUGGUAUGUCGAACAGAAUCUGGUUGUGAUUCAGGGAGUGAAGGUUUAGUUGAAUAGUGUUGUAUCCAGUUUUGACGAUCUUUACCGUAUGUGUAGCUGCACUUACUCCUUUGCAGUCUCUCUGUACAAGUAUUUGUCAUUGACCGUCAGAGUAUACAUGUUUGUCAGUUAUAUUCUGGCCUUUGGCCUUUUACAUUCUGGCCUUUGGCCUCCCC